rnacentral:sRNA from 1 species
CACAUUUUCUCCCAAACUUUUAAGGCUUAAAAGAGGAUUAAAUUAAUUUUUUUAGAAUGAAGAGUUGGUUAGUCAGAUUGCGUAUACUUAGCUGAAUAUAUUGUGUAUUUAUAGUAAAGAUUACUUGAUGAGUAAGUGAGGUUUUACAUGUUUAAUGACUGCUUUAAUGGAUUAAUUGUUGUUCUUUCCCCAAGGCCUAUAUGAAUCCAAUAGCAAUGGCGAGAUCAAGGGGUCCAAUCCAGUCUUCAGGGCCAACAAUACAGGAUUAUCUGAAUCGACCAAGGCCUACCUGGGAAGAAGUAAAAGAGCAACUAGAAAAGAAAAAGAAAGGCUCCAAGGCUUUGGCUGAAUUUGAAGAAAAAAUGAAUGAGAACUGGAAGAAAGAACUGGAAAAACACAGGGAGAAAUUGUUAAGUGGAAGUGAGAGCUCAUCCAAAAAAAGACAG